rnacentral:rRNA from 1 species
GACGAACGCUGGCGGCGUGCUUAACACAUGCAAGUCGAACGAAGUGGCGAACGGGUGAGUAAUACGUGGGUAACCUGCCCUCCUUUUUGGGAUAAGCCUUGGAAACGGGGUCUAAUACCGAAUAAAGGGGGAUGGGCUCGCGGCCUAUCAGCUUGUUGGUGGGGAGAUGGACUACCAAGGCGGUGACGGGUAGCCGGCCUGAGAGGGUGACCGGUCACAUUGGGACUGAGAUAAGGCCCAGGCGCCUACGGGAGGGAGCAGUUGGGGAUAUUGCACAAUGGGCGAAGGCCUGAGGCAGCGACGCCGCGUGGGGGAUGAAGGCUUUCGGGUUGUAAACCUCUGUCGCUAUCGAACGGGUAGGUAGAGAAAAAGCGCCGGCUAACUACGUGCCAGCAGCCGCGGUAAUAC